ACAAUCAAGCAGUUAAGAAUUAAUAAAUUUAUGGUAUAUCAUGAGUGUUUUUUCAAGCGCCGUCUUCUGUGAAGCAUAUCUACCAUUUUCGGGCAAAGCUCCCUGGAAAGCGUAUUGACUGUGUAUGCAUGGAUGCACCUAUCGAACUUCGUGCACAUAUAGACGUGAUGCUUUGACGAUAAAUAUUUAUUAAAAUUCAAAUUAUUUAUUUCUGCCUUGUAAAGGUACAGACAGCGGAGGCGCAGAAAAAGCUGUCAGAUACAGAUUGACAAAGCCACAGCCCCCUUUCGCUUGGAAAAGCCUUUACAGCGAGACUUUUAAAACAAAGACAAUUGCACACGGUAAUAACAGGUAUACAAUAAUGAGCAAGUACAAAAGGAAACAAAACAAGUUUAUACAAUAUUUAUACAAUACUCCCAAAAAAGAAAACAGAACCUACAUGCUAACGUACAUAGCCCCCAAAUUACUGUUCGACGCAUUGAAGAGGUCAAAAUUACUGUUUACAUAAGCUAUAUACAUAUUCGUAUAGAGCUAACAAUCCCUGCAAAAUAUAGAACGCAGAUUUUCAUUACACGCACGCACGCACGUGCACAGCACGCACACCAAAAGGGAACGGCGACGCGCUCACAGGAAGCGCCUGAAAAAAAAAGGAAAAGAAAGGAAAAGUGUGGGGAACCGAAGUCGUCUUGCGCUGUCGCAUCUCCCUCUCCCAGAAGGAAUGAAGAGGUUCUUGGAAAGCAGGGCCGGGCGAUUCUCUCUGUCAGCAUCAGUUCCCAACAAGCGAGGACGGGGCGAGAAAGCGAAGCGGGACUUUCCUUGCUGUCUAUUUUUUUCUUCGUCAGGCCAACGCCACCUGCUCGCAGGGGCGCAGGCGAGUUCCCGCCAAAUGGCGCGGGGGCGUGAGUUGCCGCCAAAUGCUAGCUCUGGAUGCCAGCUCGUUCCGCGUCUCUUGGUAGACUAGUUGGUGCAUUUCUGUUAUCAUGGACUGCGCAUAUAAACGCAAACUACACAAAAAUGACAUGGACAAGAACAGCGCAAGCCCUUUACAUGCAGUGGAGCCGCCGUAUCUCGCCGUUCAAGAUAUGCGUACUCAAAGAAAAAAAAAAGCUUUAUAUGAGAACGGAUCAAGCGUACGAGAGUUGGGACAGGGAAAUCUGAGACGUACUUUCAUGCAUAUAUUUCUAAUAUUAUUUUUUCGUCUUGUAUUUUUCUUAAUUUUUCUCUAGGAAACACUGGAACGACACUGCUUAAUUUGAAGCACAGUGUGCGAAUGACCUGCUACGCUCGGAACUGUUAUCACCAUUCGGGAAGAAAUCAGAUGAAAAAACAAAACUGUAAAUGCCUGUACGAUAUACGUCUGGUGCAUUGCAGGUAAGAAUGGAUUGUGUGUGGCACAUCUCUGCAUGUGGACUAGAGUAGAUCUAGGAACAUCAGACAAGAAGCCACGUAUGUGAAACCCUGCGGAUAGCCCAUAUGUAAGUUGUUCCUCAAUUCUUCUGUUGUUGCAUUUUCGUAGUUUACGUGUAAUACUUUGUCACUGCGGUCUCGACGUUAUGUAUACCUAUACAUUUGUCUCGUGGCAGUCUGCGUGCUAUUUUGUUUGUGCAACUAUGUGUUGUAUUCAUUUAUCGCGCUGCCUGGAUGUUUUUUUUUUUUUUCAUUGAUAUGCUGAGCCAAGUCAGUAAAUCUAUCCUUCCCGUCCUCAUGUUUCCUUGGGCGGCUCUAAAGCGUAUCUUAGAGGAAUAGUUAGCUUCAGACUCCCGCAUGGAACAGAUGGUGAGUGACAUGCUGUUUUCUUUUUAGAGAAACUAUGUAUUCAUGUUUAAUAUUUGGUUGAUUUUCAUUUUGUCAUUCAUACACUACCGCAGCCAUAUGCCGUUCUGUCAUAGAACAUUGUUUCUAGAUAUAUUUGUUUUAUGUGGUUAAAACAUUUAAAACGAGAGCGAUCACAUUUCUUAUCCUGACCAUUAUUUUUUACAGACCACGAUAACCACGUAUUUGGAUGCCUGGUUUAACUCUACAUGCGCUGGUUCGUGCAGGUGAACUUUUUUUACAGAUACGGAGGAACGGACACCGCUCAUGCCGUGCGCACUCUUCUGCAGGGCAUACUUACAAAUGAAGCUGCACUGCAGUUCAGCUGGAAAGGGUCGCAGGGGAGGAAGCACGUCUUCGUGAAGCUCACGGCCAUCACGAAUCUCAUUCUAACAUCUGUGAGGAGCACCUUCCCAGACGCUUCGCUGGCAUCAGUGGCGUGAGUCACGAAACGCUGGUUAGUCGGAGCAGCUGACAGGGAUGGAGGCCGGAACGAGAGAAGGCGCCCUGACCCCGCUUCAAGCCCACCAUGAACUAGCAUUUGAAACUUUUGUGAACGUGUGGGUGUAUAUAUCCAAGACAAAUACAAGAAAUAAAGACCUGUAUAAGAAUAUUUUGCCUGGUAUUUAUGUGGCAUGAAAAGUACAAAAACGCGUUCGCUUUCGUGUGGUACUUCUAUGCCGGCCACCACACAAGCAUGAUGCGCAUGCUAUUGUAAGUGCAUGAUGCAAAUGCUACGAUUAUUCGGAGCGUCAGAAGCAACGUCGGCUAUCAGCACCGGGCCGAUGCAAUGCCGACCAUUAUUGUCGUCAGGGCCAUGGCUUGCCCGCGUGUGGCAUGCGCUCGGCUGCGUUGGCCAAAUAGAAUGGCCUUACGGCUGGCCGACUGACUACGUACCUAAAACCUAGGUAGGCCCUCGUAUGGGACGCCGUCGGCCAAGUCGGCCACAGUGGUCGGGCCUACAUCGAUUGCCGACGAUCGGCCGACGUUAGGCCAAUGUCAAUCCCCAAAGCUGGGCCGCCCUUGGUUGCCGAAGUCGGGCCAACCGUUUUGCAGUCGGCCGGAGACGUCGGGCCGACCUUUUGCCACGGA